AUGGUACUCCCUCCAUCCGGAAAUACUUACCAUGAAAAUGGAUGUAUCUAGACGUAUUUUAGUUUUAAAUACAUCCGGUUUUAUCUAUUUGUGCGACAAGUAUUUUCGGAUGGAGGGAGUAGUAU
rfam:Triticum aestivum genome assembly, contig: Triticum_aestivum_CS42_TGACv1_scaffold_320544_4BL